GAGACCGUGUGCCCUAGGACCACGCGGCAGCCCCCCGAGCAGUGUGACUUCAAGGAGAACGGGCUGGUGAAGGUGUGCGUGGGGACCGUCACCCUGGACCAGGACAACGGCUCCUAUGACGUCGUCUGCGAGGAGAUCAAGGACGUCAUAUUGGGCGCUGAGAAUCUAGGGGAACGCAUCAAGAAUGCUAAAAAGAAGGUUUGGGAGAAGAUCAAGAGUUUUGGCAGGAGAAUCAAGGAAUUUUUCCGAAAACCCUCGCCCGAGGUGGAGCCCUGAGGUCUGUUUGGCCCUGGCCCCGGCCUCUGGGCUCUGACCAAUAAAAUCUGGGAAAGCCA